rnacentral:rRNA from 1 species
AUUGAACGCUGGCGGCAGGCCUAACACAUGCAAGUAGAACGAGUGGCAGAAGGGUGAGUAAUGCUUUGGAAUCUGGCUUAUGGCGGGGGAUAACGACGGGAAACGGUAGCUACUAAAGCGUACCAUAGGAUAAGCCCAAGUGGGAUUCGGUAGUGGGUGGGGUAAUGGCCCACCAAGCAGACGAUCUCUCGCUGGUCUGAGAGGAUGACCAGCCAACCCGGGACGGAGACACGGCCCGGACUCCGACGUGAGGCAGCAGUGGGGAAUAUUGCGCAAUGGGGGCAACCUGACGCAGCCAUGCCGCGUGAAUGAAGAAGGCCUGCGGGUUGUAAAGUUCUUUCAGUGACGAGGCGUUGCUCACAGAAGAAGCACCGGCUAACUACGUGCCAGCAGCCGCGGUAAUUC